ACUUAUAUGGUGAUACUAAUACAAUGAUAUAGGUGCUCAUUAGAGAAUGAGUUUACUAAACUGACCUACAAAAGAAUAUCUGAUGGAGCCUUACAGCAUGUCAGCAGAUGGUUCUUCAGUGGGAGUGGUGCAUGUGAUCUUUUGACCUGAGAUCACUAUGGUAUCUUGUGUGCAUGGACCCUUACUUUGGUUUAUUCCCUAGC
rnacentral:lncRNA from 1 species